rnacentral:rRNA from 1 species
AUUAGAUACCCUAUUAUUUUUAAUGUAAAGGAUAAAAACUGAAGUAGUAUUUGUUAUAGUCUUGAAACUUAAAGAAUUUGGCGGUAUUAUAGUCUAUUUAGAGGAAUCUGUCAUGUAAUCGAUAUUCCACGUUGAACCUUACUUAUAUUAAUUCUUGUAUAUCGCUGUUUAUGAAUAUAUUUGUAGAUAAUUUUCUGAAUAUAUGAUUAGUUAAUAUUUCAAGUCAAGGUGCAGUAAUAUAUAAGAAAUAGAUGGAUUACAAUAAAUUUUAUUUAAAUGGAUAAUUAAUGAAAAAUAUAUUUGAAGGUGGAUUUAGUUGUAAUUUAAAAAAGAUUAUUUAAAUGAUUAAAAGCUCUAUAAUAUGCACACAUCGCCCG